UAGCUACAGGCUUAACACAUGCAAGUCGAGGGGCAGCAUGGUCUUAGCUUGCUAAGGCCGAUGGCGACCGGCGCACGGGUGAGUAACACGUAUCCAACCUGCCGUCUACUCUUGGACAGCCUUCUGAAAGGAAGAUUAAUACAAGAUGGCAUCAUGAGUCCGCAUGUUCACAUGAUUAAAGGUAUUCCGGUAGACGAUGGGGAUGCGUUCCAUUAGAUAGUAGGCGGGGUAACGGCCCACCUAGUCUUCGAUGGAUAGGGGUUCUGAGAGGAAGGUCCCCCACAUUGGAACUGAGACACGGUCCAAACUCCUACGGGAGGCAGCAGUGAGGAAUAUUGGUCAAUGGGCGAGAGCCUGAACCAGCCAAGUAGCGUGAAGGAUGACUGCCCUAUGGGUUGUAAACUUCUUUUAUAAAGGAAUAAAGUCGGGUAUGGAUACCCGUUUGCAUGUACUUUAUGAAUAGGGAUCGGCUAACUCCGUGCCAGCAGCCGCGGUAAUACGGAGGAUCCGAGCGUUAUCCGGAUUUAUUGGGUUUAAAGGGAGCGUAGAUGGAUGUUUAAGUCAGUUGUGAAAGUUUGCGGCUCAACCGUAAAAUUGCAGUUGAUACUGGAUAUCUUGAGUGCAGUUGAGGCAGGCGGAAUUCGUGGUGUAGCGGUGAAAUGCUUAGAUAUCACGAAGAACUCCGAUUGCGAAGGCAGCCUGCUAAGCUGCAACUGACAUUGAGGCUCGAAAGUGUGGGUAUCAAACAGGAUUAGAUACCCUGGUAGUCCACACGGUAAACGAUGAAUACUCGCUGUUUGCGAUAUACAGCAAGCGGCCAAGCGAAAGCGUUAAGUAUUCCACCUGGGGAGUACGCCGGCAACGGUGAAACUCAAAGGAAUUGACGGGGGCCCGCACAAGCGGAGGAACAUGUGGUUUAAUUCGAUGAUACGCGAGGAACCUUACCCGGGCUUAAAUUGCAGAUGAAUUACGGUGAAAGCCGUAAGCCGCAAGGCAUCUGUGAAGGUGCUGCAUGGUUGUCGUCAGCUCGUGCCGUGAGGUGUCGGCUUAAGUGCCAUAACGAGCGCAACCCUUGUUGUCAGUUACUAACAGGUUCCGCUGAGGACUCUGACAAGACUGCCAUCGUAAGAUGUGAGGAAGGUGGGGAUGACGUCAAAUCAGCACGGCCCUUACGUCCGGGGCUACACACGUGUUACAAUGGGGGGUACAGAGGGCCGCUACCACGCGAGUGGAUGCCAAUCCCCAAAACCUCUCUCAGUUCGGACUGGAGUCUGCAACCCGACUCCACGAAGCUGGAUUCGCUAGUAAUCGCGCAUCAGCCACGGCGCGGUGAAUACGUUCCCGGGCCUUGUACACACCGCCCGUCAAGCCAUGGGAGCCGGGGGUACCUGAAGUGCGUAACCGCGAGGAGCGCCCUAGGGUAAAACUGGUGACUGGGGCUAAGUCAUAAC
rnacentral:rRNA from 1 species